AGAGUUUGAUCCUGGCUCAGGAUGAACGCUAGCGGGAGGCUUAACACAUGCAAGUCGAGGGGCAGCAUAGGGUAGCAAUACUCUGAUGGCGACCGGCAAACGGGUGAGUAACGCGUAUGCAACCUACCCUGUACAGGGGGAUAACCCGGAGAAAUUCGGACUAAUAUCCCGUAAUAAUAUCCGGAGGCAUCUUUGGAUAUUUAAAGUUCCGACGGUACGGGAUGGGCAUGCGUAACAUUAGCUGGUUGGUAAGGUAACGGCUUACCAAGGCUAUGAUGUUUAGGGGUCCUGAGAGGGUGGUCCCCCACACUGGUACUGAGACACGGACCAGACUCCUACGGGAGGCAGCAGUGAGGAAUAUUGGUCAAUGGGCGCAAGCCUGAACCAGCCAUCCCGCGUGCAGGAAGACGGCCCUAUGGGUUGUAAACUGCUUUUCCAGGGAGAGAAACUUACGCACGUGUUGCGUGACUGACGGUACCCUGGGAAUAAGCAUCGGCUAACUCCGUGCCAGCAGCCGCGGUAAUACGGAGGAUGCAAGCGUUAUCCGGAUUCAUUGGGUUUAAAGGGUGCGUAGGCGGGCUAUUAAGUCAGUGGUGAAAUCCUGCAGCUUAACUGCAGAACUGCCGUUGAUACUGAUAGUCUUGAGUUUGGUUAAGGUAGGCGGAAUGUGUAAUGUAGCGGUGAAAUGCUUAGAUAUUACACAGAACACCAAUUGCGUAGGCAGCUUACUGAGCCGACACUGACGCUGAGGCACGAAAGCGUGGGGAUCAAACAGGAUUAGAUACCCUGGUAGUCCACGCCGUAAACGAUGAUUACUCGCUGUUGGCGAUACACUGUCAGCGGCUAAGCAAAAGCAAUAAGUAAUCCACCUGGGGAGUACGGCCGCAAGGUUGAAACUCAAAUGAAUUGACGG
rnacentral:rRNA from 1 species